UAUAAAUCGAUGAUAGGGAGAGUACCCUGAUUCUAUUGUGUAAGAGAAGGAAUGCCAAGGCUGCAAGCAUUUCUCACGAGCAUUCAGGAGAAAACCACCCUUAAGUGUUGGGCGUGCGUAAGCUCAGCCGUACCCCGCGUUAAGGGAGAACGAGUGAAAGGGUAUUCGUAUGACCUUUCAAUUGGGUGGAACCACGGGAGUAAACUCUCGUCCCUAUU
rnacentral:ncRNA from 1 species